UCCUGGGUGGCUCAGUUGGUAGAGCAUGUGACUCUGGAUCUCAGGGUCGUGAAUUCAAGCCUCACUUUAGGCA